rnacentral:rRNA from 1 species
AAAAAUUAAAUUAUUAUUUUGAUAUAAAGAAAGUAUUUUUUGGUUUUAGUAUUAUAAAGAAUAAAUUAAGUUUAUGAUAGAUUAUUAGUAUAGUAAUAGAAAUUAUUUUAUUUAAUUAAAAGAAUUAUUUAUUUUAAGUACCUUGUGUAUCAGGGUUUAUUAAAUUAAUUUUUAAAAUUAAAAUUUUUCGAUUUUAAAAGAGUUAAUAAAUUAUAUAUUUUAUUGUAGAAUAAAUAUUUAUAAUAAUUUAUUUGAAAUGAAAUGUUAUUCGUUUUUAAAGGUAUCUAAUUUUUAAAGAAAUAAAUUUAAUUUAUUUUAUAAAUAAUAAUAAUUUUAUUUUUAAGAUUUUAUUUUUUAUAAAAAAUAUAUUUAGGGAUUAGCUUAAAUAUAAAAUUUUAAAAAUUUAUAAAAUUUAAUAAAUUAAUAGGAUUAGAAAUUUUAAUUAGUUAGUUUGUUAUAAUUAAUUUAUUUAAUAAAAUGAUUUUUAUAAAUUUUAAAUUUUUUAUUUAAAUUUUUAAUUUAAUUUUGAAAUUAAAGUAAAAAUGAUAAAAUUAGUAUAAAUUAAUUGAAUAAAUGAAAAUUUAUUAGGUUAAAUAAAGGAAUUCGGCAAAAAAAUUUUUCGCCUGUUUAUUAAAAACAUGUCUUUUUGAAUUAUCAUUUAAAGUCUAACCUGCCCACUGAAAUUUUAAAUGGCCGCGGUAUUUUGACCGUGCAAAGGUAGCAUAAUAAUUAGUUUUUUAAUUGAAAGCUGGAAUGAAUGGUUGAACGAGAAAGUAGCUGUCUCUAUUUAAAUUAAUUAGAAUUUUAUUUUUAAGUUAAAAAGCUUAAAUAAGUUUUAAAGACGAGAAGACCCUAUAGAGUUUUAUAUUAAUAUUCAAUAAAAUUUUAUGUAUUAUUUAAUUUAUUAUUAAUAUUUUAUUGGGGUGAUAGAAAAAUUUAUUAAACUUUUUUUAUAUUUAAACAUUUAUUUAUGGUUUAUUGAUCCAUUUUAAUGAUUAUAAGAUUAAAUUACCUUAGGGAUAACAGCGUAAUUUUUUUUAAAGUUCUUAUUAAAAAAAAAGUUUGCGACCUCGAUGUUGGAUUAAAAUUUAAUUUUGGUGUAGAAGCUGAAAUAUUAAGUCUGUUCGACUUUUAAAAUUUUACAUGAUCUGAGUUUAAACCGGUGUGAGCCAGGUUGGUUUCUAUCUUGAAAGAUAAAAAAUAUUUUAGUACGAAAGGACCAAAUAUU